rnacentral:rRNA from 1 species
CUAGGAAUCUUGGGAAUGGGCGAAAGCCUGACCCAGCAACGCCGCGUGGGCGAUGAAGGCCUUCGGGUCGUAAAGCCCUUUUGUGGGGGAAGAUGAUGACGGUACCCCACGAAUAAGCCACGGCUAACUACGUGCCAGCAGCCGCGGUAAUACGUAGGUGGCGAGCGUUGUCCGGAUUUACUGGGCGUAAAGGGCGUGCAGGCGGUUCGUUAAGUUCGAGGUGAAAGCUCCCGGCUCAACUGGGAGAGGUCCCCGGAUACUGGCGGACUUGAGGUAGGUAGAGGAAAGUGGAAUUCCCGGUGUAGUGGUGAUAUGCGUAGAUAUCGGGAGGAACGCCAAUGGCGAAGGCAGCCCCCUGGGUUAGCACUGACGCUCAUACACGAAAGCGUGGGGAGCAAACAGGAUUAGAUACCCUGGUAGUCCACGCUGUAAACGAUGAGAACUAGAUGUUGGGAGGGUUACCUUUCGGUGUCGCAGCUAACGCGUUAAGUUCUCCGCCUGGGGAGUACGCCGGCAACGGUA